UACGGAGGGUGCAAGCGUUAUCCGGAUUCACUGGGUUUAAAGGGUGCGUAGGUGGGUCUGUAAGUCCGUGGUGAAAUCUCCGAGCUUAACUUGGAAACUGCCAUGGAUACUAUAGGUCUUGAAUACCGUGGAGGUCAGCGGAAUAUGUCAUGUAGCGGUGAAAUGCUUAGAUAUGACAUAGAACACCAAUUGCGAAGGCAGCUCGUUACACGAAGAUUGACUCUGAGGCACGAAAGCGUGGGGAUCAAACAGG
rnacentral:rRNA from 1 species